rnacentral:rRNA from 1 species
UACAGAGGGGGCAAGCGUUGUUCGGAAUUACUGGGCGUAAAGGGCGCGUAGGCGGCCUGUUAAGUCGAACGUGAAAUCCCCGGGCUCAACCCGGGAACUGCGUCCGAUACUGGCAGGCUUGAAUCCGGGAGAGGGAUGCGGAAUUCCAGGUGUAGCGGUGAAAUGCGUAGAUAUCUGGAGGAACACCUGUGGUGUAGACGGCUUUCUGGACCAUAGCUGACGCUGAGACACGAAAGCGUGGGUAGCAAACAGG